rnacentral:rRNA from 1 species
CGGAGGGUGCAAGCGUUAUCCGGAUUUACUGGGUUUAAAGGGUGUGUAGGCGGGUCUUUAAGUCAGUGGUGAAAUCUCCGAGCUCAACUUGGAAACUGCCAUUGAUACUAUUGAUCUUGAAUUCUGCUGAGGUUGGCGGAAUAAGUCAUGUAGCGGUGAAAUGCAUAGAUAUGACUUAGAACACCGAUUGCGAAGGCAGCUAACUAAGCAGAUAUUGACGCUGAGGCACGAAAGCGUGGGGAUCAAACAGGAUUAGAUACCCUGGUAGUCCACGCCCUAAACGAUGAUUACUCGACAUACGCGAUACACAGUGUGUGUCUGAGCGAAAGCAUUAAGUAAUCCACCUGGGAAGUACGACCGCAAGGUUG